UGGGGAAUAUUGCACAAUGGGCGCAAGCCUGAUGCAGCCAUGCCGCGUGUAUGAAGAAGGCCUUCGGGUUGUAAAGUACUUUCAGCGAGGAGGAAGGCAUUAAGGUUAAUAACCUUAGUGAUUGACGUUACCUCGACAAGAAGAAGCCGAACCGGCUAACUCCGUGCCAGCAGCCGCGUAAUACGGAGGGUGCAAGCGUUAAUCGGAAUUACUGGGCGUAAAGCGCACGCAGGCGGUCUGUCAAGUCGGAUGUGAAAUCCCCGGGCUCAACCUGGGAACUGCAUCCGAAACUGGCAGGCUAGAGUCUUGUAGAGGAGGGUAGAAUUUCCAGGUGUAGCGGUUGAAAUUGCGUAGAGAUCUGGAGGAAUACCGGUGGCGAAGGCGGCCCCCUGCAGCAAAGACUGACGCUCAGGUGCGAAAGCGUGGGAGCAAACA
rnacentral:rRNA from 1 species